UACAGAGGUCUCAAGCGUUGUUCGGAUUCAUUGGGCGUAAAGGGUGCGUAGGCGGCGCGGUAAGUCGGGUGUGAAAUCUCGGAGCUUAACUCCGAAACUGCAUUCGAUACUGCCGUGCUUGAGGACUGGAGAGGAGACUGGAAUUUACGGUGUAGCGGUGAAAUGCGUAGAUAUCGUAAGGAAGACCAGUGGCGAAGGCGGCCUGCUGGGCAGUUGCUGACACUGAGGCGCGACAGCGUGGGGAGCAAACGGG
rnacentral:rRNA from 1 species